GAUGCCAGGUGGGAGUGUGGACGAGAGUAUAUAUUGCUGAUGCCGCCCUGUGUUCAGACAGUCCGAGGUCUCUCCUCUACGAACUCCGUGAACACAGCGAGAAGUACAGACGUCUUCAGAUGGCCACCUCACGAUCACCUCGUCUCACCUUCAUGACACGAGUAGCUCUGACAUUAGCGGUGUCACCUUGGGUGCCGCUGGUGAGACGUUGAACCCAGACGAGGCGAGUACAAACGAAAAAAGCACAGUCGGUCAUAGGAGCAACGGUAAAACUGAAUUAACAGUGACUAAGGUAGAAAUAACAUACCUUUAAAAGAGGAUCAGAUCUCUGAAUGAUAAGCGAUAACUGAUGGUUACUGCACUUGACAGCACUCUGCUGGUCGCCCUUCAUCAGAAAUUCUCUACCUUGUCUCACUGCCCAUCAUUCAGCAGCUAAUAUUCACAACAUGUAGUAGGGUACGUCGUUCGUCAAUCAACACUGGACUACGGCAUGGUCCACAAUGGUCCACAAUGGUCCACAAUAGUUCACAAUUGCCUACAAUGGUUCACCAAGGUCUACAAUUUCAGAAUAGUUCAACGUAUCAGCGAAGGAGUGGCUGAAUCCUGUACAUUCAGAAAUCAAAGCAAGAUGGCAAAACGAAGAAGAUGAGACAGAAGCCGUUAGUGGAAGAUGACUGUUGUAAGAAAUGACACAGCACUAACAGUGAAGAACAAUCCACAAUAGAGGUGAAUGGCGCACAAAACAUCAGAGAUUAGUAGGAAAAACCAAAACUCGCCGUACAUCCACAGACGAGUCAAACGACAGACAGCUGGUGCCCUCCAGCAAGUUGGCGAAGAGACGUCACUCUCAAUGGAACUCGUUAUAUUUCUAUAUUUAGAAAGAAAUUUGUCUUUUCAUGAAGCACGUUUUGACAAAUUACAAAAUAUGAAAAGAUUUAUAAGAGACCAUAAAUCCUUUGUGAAGCUUUACUGUCACUCUAGUAUGUCAGGACUAAUAGUUGUGUUGUUUUUUCAUCUCAUAGGUAUACUUCACGACUACAGCAAACGUCCGAAUUUAAACUGUUUUAUUAUUCUGAUAUACCCGGAAAAGGAUGAUGAUAAUAUUUAAAAAAAUGAUUCAUCUGUAUAGUCAACAACAAUAGCAAUGUUUGUUCACAUAGUUUAAUCUGAGUUGAGCAGAAUUAACAGAAGGGAGAUGGGCGUGUAGGUGUGUGGUGGUAUAUAAAUAAUCUUCAAAUAACAGGGUGACUAGGAUUAAGUCAGAGAGGGUAGAUAUAGAGAAGCUGCACUCUUUCUUUGUCCUUAUUUGUUAAGAAAAGUAGUGAGUGCAGCCUCUCUACCGACCUGAUGAUAUAAAAUUUGUUGUUAGAUAUCUUUGUAAGGGGAAGUAAUUCCCUGUCAUAAUCGUAUAUGCGGGACAACACUUCAACUUAGGAUUGCAAAUCGUUAAAACAUCAUGGAUCAAGCUAGCAUUAGCAUCUUUAGGGUUAUGCAUACUUAUCACUUUUAACAUUGUUCCUUCGUACAGUGCUUUUAGUAGCAUCCUGUUUAAGUAAACUGGUAGCAGCCUUGUACCCAGCACAUCUUAGACUAAUUCUAGACAAGUCAUGUCACCAUUGUUGGAGAAGUCGAGUCUUUGCUGCUACAAUCUGUGUUGAUGCACAGUUUAGCGAGUGACAUCUCGUGGCUACACCGCUCAUCCCAGUUUCUAGCUGCUAGAUGCAUCAUCAGGUAAAGUCUCUUUCUUUAGAUUAAUGUUGCAUAACUCUUUCAAAAGAAAAACGUUUCAUAUAAUGUGGUUGUCUCCCUUAAGCCGCUAAAAAUAUAUAUAUAUUGUCACAGACAUUAAAUAACGCAGUUUUACUACGCAGGAAACGGUAAUGAUUCGUUGAACGAUUUUGUGUCAAAUGUUUAAUUUAUGUCUCUACUAUGCGCUUUAUAAAUUGUUCGUUAUGAUGAUGUGGAUUAUGACACGAUGAGAACGAUAACGAUUAUGUUGAUAUUAGUGAUAAUAAUGAUUUUUUUUUAAAAUUCAUUUUUACACUUCGUUACAUAAUUAAUAAAAAAAACUGUUAGCAUUUAUCUCUUCCGUGUCACGGACCACGUCGCUGACCCCGUUUUUGAGUGCAAGGAGUGCACUGGACGGUGAAUAGUUUUAGACAAAUUACUCUUUAACCAUGGCGAUGACUAAAGACGAUAAACCAAAUGGACCUAUUAUGCGAAUUUAGAUUAUUGUCGACACGCAUAAGCUGGACUGAAGUAUCCUCUCGUCUUUUUACGGUUUUUUUUCCUGCACACAGUGUGUCUCAGUGCUACAGUCAGUGCCCCUCCUUUUAUAGUAUCAGCUAUGAGCAUGGGUCUGUUGGGACAUUCCCGGUUGUCCAUGUGGACUGGGAAUGUGGGAUGGGAAUCACAAAGUGAAUCACUUGAACUGAGCACGAAGAAUAAUUUCAGUUUUUAAUGAAGGUCUACAUUACAAACUAAUGAUGUCUUCUGCUGCUUUUAGCUAGGUCACCUGUUGGAAAAGGAAAGGGAUCAACAAUAAUUAAUAUUUAAUAAACCAAUGCUUCAUACAAUGAAGAAAAUCCAGUGUCAAUGCUCCGCAUUCGAGAGAUAAGGCAAACUGGAAGCUUAACAUGAAGAGAUAAGAUAAAAGCUGUAUGUGGACAAGACAGGAAAUAUAAGGGUACCGUAUUUUAUAUUAUGAUACGUCCAUAAAGGACAUUUUUUGCGUGCCCUCUCCUGAAAGAGAACUUGACCACUCAAGAUGUAGUUUUUCAUUGGUCCACUGGGGAAAUUAUACUCGAUAAUAACUUCUGAAUUUUGAAAUAAAGGACCCACAGACCUCUGAAACCAAUUGACAUAACUUUAUUUGUAUCAACUUACCCAUCGUGUCCAACAGAUACUGUAAAGCUGGGCCAUCCUGCCCACGUGACUUGAAGUCCAAGAGAUGAGGUCCAUCAGUUUGGCAGCGCAUGUUGGCAGUCUGGUAGUCUUGCUUGACAGGGUACAUCUUCAGACAAUGAUUGUCAUCAAGCACGUAACCUCUCUCUUAUAACGUUUUGUAAAGAGUAGGUUACGAAUGUAUGCGAACGUGAAUAUAAAUCUGCAUGUAAAACUCGCUCGCCGCACUCUUCUACCUUUUUCAUACAAAAAGGUCCGGCCAACGGUUAACACAUUUGAUGUUUUAAGAAAAAUGGCAAUGAAAUGCGAAAAAAACCCCAAUAAAAUAGUUCUACCGCCUACUGUCUACCGUCUGUAGAAAGUUAAUAAUUCUCCCGACAUUUGACAUGACCGGCGAAUUAUAUCCAAGGCAGCUGUUAACACAGUGGAGUACCCGAGCUCUAGGUCGGUUAUGUAUCCAAAUGAAUUCCAAGCGGCUUAUGUCCAAGGGUGUCCAAACAGACGAAACGUUAAUGAUGGAAAUCACAAUGUUCGAAGUUGAAGACAACUUUCUCCUCAUGUAGAUCAGCUGUGAAUGUCGGGGAAACGUUAGUUCGCCUAACAUAACUAGUUCCUCUACUUGUUUGACCAAUCAGGCCAUUAACAACUAGGUAGUCUUGUUAAAUUGUCGGCUGACUUUCGCAAGGUGUGACCAGUCCAACCCCACUUCCGCUUCUUGAUGUCUUGGCUGGCAGGUUUUGGGUUGG
rnacentral:lncRNA from 1 species